rnacentral:lncRNA from 1 species
UACCCUUGGAAGAGGACAUUUUCAUGCCUUCAUGGUAGGACCAGAAUUUCCAUGCCUGAGUGACCAGGCCAGCUGGUUUGCUAGAGGCUGCUCACUUUCCUCACCAGUAUUUGCUCACUCCUUGGGCGCUUCAACUCUCCCAAACUUGGGGCACUUUGGAGUGGUUUUGAUUCUACCAUGGACAUGGCUGAAGCCCCAUAGGAGGAGGAAGUAGGACAGAACACAAACAUCCCGAGUCAGUACACAAAAAUGAACGGAAAAGUUCUUCUGGAAGCAGCAUGGGAUGGUGAACUGGAGGCAUGCCAGGGACUCUGUGGCCACAGACCAGAUCUGCAAAUAGACCUGCAGACUCUGAAAUCAAUUGCUUUCAGCAUAACCAGUCCCCAAGAAGCUGAUGUCCAUUCUUUCUUCCCCUUCUUGCCCUGCAACCU